GUAGUAUCAAGUUUUGUUUGAAGGUAAAUUUUGAAGUGUGAUUAAUUUUCUUUCUAGUAGUGUCCAUGGUUGGUCAGAAAAUUUAGGAAAGGAUGUACAAUGUAAAGUUCUAAAUUUAUCAUGUUCUUAUUUGGGAACCAAUGAAAUCUAAUCCUUCAUUUAAGUGUGUACUUUCAGAUCUUUGAUUUCCUGCUUAUUGCACUAGUGCUUCAAUUUCCUUAGUGUGUAGAAAAUGGCGUUAUCUGUCUGAUUUGAGCUAUAAACUUUUUGUUUUGUGGAUGAUGGAUGUCUGAAAACUCUCGCUCAUUUGGAUCUUUCUAAAAAUUUGGGUAGGAUUCUUCUAGAAAUGGUAUAGGAAAAGUUGAGAAAUUAAAGUUUUGAAUUUUAGUUCUGUCUUACACUGAGGUCUUUAGUUCCAAAAUCUCGUUUAGAUCCUAUGUAUUGGGAUUCAUUUUAUUUGGAUUUGGCGUAUUAGUUCUGAUCUACUGGGCUUUGGAUUUGCAUUUUCUUGAAUUGUGUUUGAAAUCACUUAUCAAAAAAAAAAAAAAAAAAAAUUGUGUUUGAAAUGGUUCGGUGGUUGUCCCACUUAGGCUUUGGGUCAAUUUUUAAGGGAUAGUUCUUAGGUUCAAAAAAACAUAAAAAAAGGUAAAUUAAUAAAUAAAAAACCACAUAGGUGUUUUCAGUAAUCUAUGUUUCUUUAAUAUAUUCUUUAAAAAUGGUGCUUUGGAUGGUUGGUCUCUCAAAAGACAAAUGUUUUUAGCUUGGUUGCAAUAAGGAGACUGCUUGAUUUUGUUCAGUGAUUUAGCGUGUCUAAGUUAUGAGCCUUCUGGUUUAGUUGACUUAGUUCUAUAUUAUGAUUUUCCCCCAAAAAAUUUGGAUUUUGGGGGUAAAAAUCAUAUUUUUGAAGUUUCAACUGUUUUAAUGUAAAGAAUGGAUGGGAAAAGAAUUGAAAAUCACAUUUUAAUUAUUUAGGCCCUGAGAAAGCAAGGAACCUCAAGCCUUAUACAAUUACCUAGCUUGGAUAAGGUGAGUUCCCAUAUUUAUGCCAAAAGAAAAUGUAGAACGUUGGGUUCAAUAUAUUAAUUUCUAUUCUCUUCCUACAUAUACUCACUAACUAGAACUUACUAUGAUUAAUGCUAUCAUGAUUGGAUUGUAUUAUAUACUUUUUUACUUAUGCUGUGAAAAUUUUACUGCCAGAGUUAGGGUGCUUACAAAUUCAUUGCUUUGGGUAUUUAAGUGGCUAACUGAUGCACAUGAUCUGCUAUUUACAUAUAUGUGCUUAAACAAAUCCAUUGGGACUCUAUAUUUAUUUAUUUAUUUAUUUAUUUAUUAUUAUAUAAAUAUAUAAGUCAAAUUUGUUGGACUCUCUCAGUAUAUAAAUUUUGGUGGUAGUAGGUCAUGUAUGUUUGUGGUCCCUUGGCCUAAGUAUUGUUUCUGGGAAGUUCCAAUUAAUAUUAUAAUUGUUGGAUUAAAUAUUAACAUAAUGAAUAAAAUAAUGAAACGGAGGUGGAAAAUGGAGGCCAUAGAGACAUGUGACGUGAUGGUGUACACAAAGAUCUUAAAAUUUCCACAUAAGUUCUGGCCAUGUGGACCCGGAAAAGAGUUCAUGUAUGCUCACGAGAGGAGGGGAUACUACACAUUCUGGCAGCCUGCCUAAUUUACUUACUACUACACACUUCUUGAAGCAGCUAUCUAUCUUCUUUUGCUUCAGUUUGGAUUUGGUUCAUCCAUAGGCAACCUACCUAAUUUACUUGCUACUAUACACUUCCAAAGCAGCUAUCUAUCUCCUCUUGCUU